CAGCCGCCGCGGGAAUACAGAGGGUGCGAGCGUUAAUCGGAUUUACUGGGCGUAAAGCGUGCGUAGGCGGCUUUUUAAGUCGGAUGUGAAAUCCCUGAGCUUAACUUAGGAAUUGCAUUCGAUACUGGGAAGCUAGAGUAUGGGAGAGGAUGGUAGAAUUCCAGGUGUAGCGGUGAAAUGCGUAGAGAUCUGGAGGAAUACCGAUGGCGAAGGCAGCCAUCUGGCCUAAUACUGACGCUGAGGUACGAAAGCAUGGGGAGCAAACAGGAUUAGAUACCCCCGGUAGUCCCUGUCUCUUAUA
rnacentral:rRNA from 1 species